rnacentral:rRNA from 1 species
GCUUUAUCAGUAGUAUGAUUAAUAUCAAAAUUAUAUGAUUUAGUACGGAAUUGCAUGGCUGUCGUCAGUUCGUGCUGUGAAGUUUAGGAUUAAGUUCUUUUUAACGAAUGCAACCCUAUAAGUAAGUUUUUAUUUUAAAAUAACUUAAUUUUUUAAAUAUACUUAUUUAAUCUAUAAUUAGAAUAUAUUGAAUCUAUUCUGUAUAUUCUUUUAUAGGGGUUAUAGGCUGAAGUCAAGUCCCUAUGGUCUUUAUACGUUGGGCUACACACGUGUUACAAGGGUAAAUACAAAAAGACGCAAAAAAGUAAUUUUGAGCAAACCUUUAAAAAUUACCUUAGUUCAGAUUGUUUUAUGAAAUUCUAAAACAUGAAGAUGAAAUCGUUAGUAAUUGUAAAUUAUUAUGUUACAGUGAAACAAUAGUCAAAUUUUGCACACACCGCCCAUCACGCUCGGAAAGUCAAUAAUAGCGGAAGAUUUGAAAAACUCUGCGCAAAACUAAUAUUAUUUUUAUAUUAGUUGUCAUUAUAUUAUUUUUUAAUGGCAUGGUUGAAAAGUAGUAUCCAAUCUAGUAUUGGUAAUUUGAGUGAAGUUGACACAAGGUAC